rnacentral:rRNA from 1 species
AUUGAACGCUGGCGGCAUGCCUUACACAUGCAAGUCGAACGGUAACAGGUCUUCGGAUGCAGACGAGUGGCAAACGGGUGAGUAAUACAUGGGAACAUGCCCUUGGAUGGGGAAUAACGUUUGGAAACGAACGCUAAUACCGCAUAAUCUCGCGAGAGUAAAGGUGGCGCCGCAAGGGCUACCGUCCAAGGAUUGGCCCAUGUCCCAUUAGCUAGUUGGCGGGGUAAUGGCCCACCAAGGCAACGAUGGGUAUGUGGUCUGAGAGGAUGAUCACACACACUGGAACUGAGACACGGUCCAGACUCCUACGGGAGGCAGCAGUAGGGAAUAUUGCACAAUGGGGGAAACCCUGAUGCAGCAACGCCGCGUGAGUGAAGAAGGCCCUUGGGUUGUAAAGCUCUUUAGCGUGGGAAGAAGGUAGAUACGGUGAAUAAUCGUGUUUGCUGACGGUACCACGAGAAUAAGCACCGGCUAAUUUCGUGCCAGCCGCCGCUGUAACAC